AUCCUUUUGCAGUUCAUAAAUGUGAUGACUAGGUGUUGACAUGCAUGUAUGAGAUGUCCCUCUCUCAAGUUUUGUUACAGUGUCAGCACAUUACUCCUCUGAUG